AGAAAGUACCCUGCAUUGUUGCACGUAGUGCAGUUUGGGAGUCGUCAGAGCAAACGGUUCUUUAUACGGACUGAUCGCCACGAUUUAUAAGGUUUACUGCUGUGUCUAGCCGUGUGUAAGUCUACCUGUGAUCCACCAUGAAGCUUCUCACAGCCGCCAUCUUUCUGACCUCCAUCGCUGGUAUCGUGAGUAUCAAGUGUUACACCUGUAACUCAGGGACUAGUGCCCCCGAUGAAACCAAUGCCUGCCGCGAUCCGUUGGACGCGACAGAUCCUGACGUUCGGGAGACUGA